rnacentral:lncRNA from 1 species
AUCUUCUUUUUUUAAGUAAACGGUACCAUUUUUCAAUAAUCUGGUGUUACUUUUAUGUUUUCAUUUGGAGCAAAAGACAGUUCAGAUGAUGUUUAAGCAAGCGACAUUUCAAUUAGGGAAUGGAGACAGAUGCACAGCCAGGUGCUGGGGCUGCCCUGUGCCCGGGAGAGGCUGAGCAUAGUCAUUCUAUGUCUCCAUGACAACACCCGUCUCACCUGCUGAGCCCUGGGCAGAGAGUCUGAGUGUGGAUUCCAGCUUGAGCUCAUUUCUCUAAGUUCACCUGCCAGCCAACAUCUGAGGAAUUUCCAGUUUAGAAUUAUUAAAACUAGGGCUGAAUGAACACCACUGUGAGUCUUUGGUGAGCGUGUGUAUGCAUUUCUGUUAAGGAGGAAGGGAAUUGCUGGUGAGGACAAAUUUUAAGGAGACUAACAAGAGAGAGUACUAAAAAUAUAAGAACAUAAUUCUGCAUUCUGAAGGAAGGGUUAAGUAAAGGCCCAAUAAUUACUGGUUAUGAUUCUUGGAUGAGAAGGUUGAUCAAGUCAAUAUUUCUAAACAAUGUGCAUAUGAAUUGCUAUGGGCUGAACUGUGUUCCCCCCAAAUUUCUAUGUUGAAGUCCUAAGUCCCAUGUGAGAAUGUGACUGUGGUUGGAGAUAGGGUAUUUCCAGUCAGUAUGACUGGUGUCUUUAUAAGAAGAGGGAAUCUGGACACAGACAGAUACAGAGGGAAAGCCAUGCAAAGACACAGCAAGAAGGUGGCCAUCCACAAGCCAGAGAGGGAGGCCUGACACAGAUUCUUCCACACAGCCCUCCGAAGAAAUCAACCCUGCUGACACCUCCAACUUGGACAUCCAGACUCUGGAACUGUGAGAAGGUGCUGCCAGUCCAUGGACCGUACUUUGGGUAGCAGGAGUCUGGAGUUGAGGUGAGAAAUGAGCCUUAGACUUGCCUUUUUGACUCAGACUGAGCAGCAGCUGCUCCUGGCUCUGUUUUGGAGUCACAGUUCAUCCCCUGUUACAUGAGCCAUUUGUAACACGGCUCUUUUAUAAAAUAUACCUCGCUAG